UACGAAGGGGGCGAGCGUUGUUCGGAAUUACUGGGCGUAAAGGGCGCGUAGGCGGCGACCCAAGUCAGAUGUGAAAGUCCUGGGCUUAACCUGGGGACUGCAUUUGAUACUGGGUUGCUUGAAUUCGGGAGAGGAUAGCGGAAUUCCCAGUGUAGAGGUGAAAUUCGUAGAUAUUGGGAAGAACACCGGUGGCGAAGGCGGCUAUCUGGACCGACAUUGACGCUGAGGCGCGAAAGUGUGGGGAGCAAACAGG
rnacentral:rRNA from 1 species